rnacentral:rRNA from 1 species
UACGUAGGGUGCAAGCGUUGUCCGGAAUUAUUGGGCGUAAAGAGCUCGUAGGCGGUCUGUCGCGUCGGACGUGAAAACCCAGGGCUCAACCCUGGGCCUGCGUUCGAUACGGGCAGACUAGAGUUCGGUAGGGGAGACUGGAAUUCCUGGUGUAGCGGUGAAAUGCGCAGAUAUCAGGAGGAACACCGGUGGCGAAGGCGGGUCUCUGGGCCGAUACUGACGCUGAGGAGCGAAAGCGUGGGGAGCGAACAGG